rnacentral:lncRNA from 1 species
UUCGAUGGUAAUUACAUAUAAAGAAUAGUUCUCGAGAUCUUUAUUAUUUUUCCAUUGGAAGGGAAAUAGUCUUCCUACAGCUAAUAAUUUCUCCUAACUAUAUUGUGUGGAAAAUGACGAGAGCCAUAAAAUAAGUGCUCCACAACUCAUGAAAAGUGUAAACAAGAAACAUCUGACAGGAAUAGAAUCAAAGGGAACAGACCAUUACUAAGGUCAACCCCAUCCCAGUACCUCCCUGAUUUCAUAUCAGUUUGGUGCAGCAUGUAAGCCUCUUUUAAUCCAUCUAUGACUGGGCAUCCACUCUUAAGUUUCCCAAAU